rnacentral:rRNA from 1 species
AUUGAACGCUGGCGGCAGGCCUAACACAUGCAAGUCGAGCGGAUGAAGGGAGCUUGCUCCUGGAUUCAGCGGCGGACGGGUGAGUAAUGCCUAGGAAUCUACCUGGUAGUGGGGGAUAACGUCCGGAAACGGGCGCUAAUACCGCAUACGUCCUGAGGGAGAACGUGGGGGAUCUUCGGACCUCACGCUAUCAGAUGAGCCUAGGUCGGAUUAGCUAGUUGGUGGGGUAAAGGCCUACCAAGGCGACGAUCCGUAACUGGUCUGAGAGGAUGAUCAGUCACACUGGAACUGAGACACGGUCCAGACUCCUACGGGAGGCAGCAGUGGGGAAUAUUGGACAAUGGGCGAAAGCCUGAUCCAGCCAUGCCGCGUGUGUGAAGAAGGUCUUCGGAUUGUAAAGCACUUUAAGUUGGGAGGAAGGGCAGUAAGUUAAUACCUGGCUGUUUUGACGGUACCAACAGAAUAAGCACCGGCUAACUUCGUG